rnacentral:rRNA from 1 species
CACGUAGGGCGCAAGCGUUGUCCGGAAUUAUUGGGCGUAAAGGGCUCGUAGGCGGUUUGUCGCGUCGGGAGUGAAAUCCACUGGCUUAACUGGUGGCUUGCUUUCGAUACGGGCAGACUGGAGGUAUGCAGGGGAGAACGGAAUUCCUGGUGUAGCGGUGAAAUGCACAGAUAUCAGGAGGAACACCGGUGGCGAAGGCGGUUCUCUGGGCAUGUCCUGACGCUGAGGAGCGAAAGCGUGGGGAGCGAACAGG